UUUAUGCAAGUGUGGGUCCUAUUUUUACACAUGCUGCAAGCCCACAUUGUUGGAGCGGUGUCCGAAUAUUUUCUCAGGGCAUAGUUGAUGAUGUGGCAAGAUUUUGAGAUACUCGGCACCAAUUUCAUAGUGGAAGGCCUAAUUGCUCGUGUUUAUAACAGUGGUAUACAUAUUCUAGUGGUUUAAUAUCAAUCAUGUCUGAUGUAUACCUUACGCCCAUCAUAUUCUAUAUUUUGAUAAGAUUUGAUUUUAUUUGACUAUGGAUAGAAGAAGGUAAUGAAAGUUUUGAUUUAGUUGAUGUUUUACUAAGAUUUAAUUUGAUUUGGGUAUGUGUAUGGAAAGACAAGGAAAGUUUUGUUUUAGUUAAGGUUUUGACAAGAUUUGAUUUUGACUGAGUUAAUGCAUCAGAUGGUUCUCAUAAUAUAUAUUUUUGAACAUCAGUACAUACACAAGCGCUCAUAUACACACGCAUACACUCACCCCUAUGAACGCACACACGCACAUCCUACCCCUAUGAGCACCUCCGAAAUACUGAGUCGACAUAUCAUCUUGAGAUUUACGAAGUCACCAUAAGCGCCUCGUCGUCGAUGGGAACGUCUCCUCCCAUUGAAUGUGCAUCACCGGAAAUCCUGAAAUAAAUCCAGGAAUGAAUGCGAGCACACCAUGAUUUGAACCCUGGUAGGCUGGGGAUACCACAGUCCCUCUAACCGUCCAACCACAGGUUGGUUUGCGUUCUCAUAAAUUUGGUCCAGUUAAUGUAGCACAUAGUUUCUAGUAAGACAAGAAAAAAAGUAGUUUAGAUCAUUCCAAACCAGAGGAGGGGCGUGGAGAGGAAAAAUAAGGUAGGGUGGACCGAAAAAGAUCAACAGGGAGGGUCGAGCGAAUCGAUCUAGGUUUUGGUGGUGGUGGUGGUGGGUGUGGGGGUGGGGGGAACCAGCAUGAACAGGGUGAUGGGAGUUGAGGAGGACGUACCAACUCUAAUUUAAUAUUGAAGAAAUUUACUAUUAUUAGGUAAACACCCGUGUGUUGCCACGGGGCUCAAUCCGACGCAACAAAUGGUCCACCAAGUCUCGAAGCGCUACGGCCGAUAGGAUGCGAUCGCCAGGGCGACCGCAUUCUCUCGCUAGGGUUAGGGUUUCGGAGCACUAGGGUGGUUGGAUUCUGGCAAAGCUAGGGGCGGUGACGGCAUCUCCCUUGAGUCAGGCCAGUCUACCUGUGUCUCCGCGCUUUGGAGCGGCGCUCAUGGCGGGAGAAGCAGGAGGGAAGGAUGCAGCCACGGCGAACAAACCUACACUGACCCUGUUUGUUGCGGCGGCGGCCACGCCGGCGCGGAAGGGAGCCGGAUCUGCUAGCAGGGAGGCGAACAAGUCUCCCGUAGAGAGCAAAACGCCGGAUGCGGCGGCAAGUCUUUCGGCAAGAUUAGGAGGCAUGGUGCUUAUGGACAAGGAGGAGGAGGGUUUUGUCUUUGAAGAUCCACACCCGCAAGUCCGUAAAGAUCACCGAUGGUCUGUUGUAGGUAAAGUCUGUUCCCCCCGUCAUAUGAAGAUGUCCGUCGUGGAGAAGACGAUGCCUAGGGCUUGGGGUCUACACAAAGAAGCUAAGUUUGCUGAGAUUGGCCCUAAUAUCUUUGAAGUUCACUUUGGUUCUGAGGGUGACUAUAGGCAUGUCAUUCACAAUGACCCGUGGCAGUUCGAUUUCAGCGUGCUGGUGAUUAAGAAGUAUGAGGGAGACAAGAGACCGUCUGAGAUGAUCUUUGAUAAAAUUGAUGUGUGGGUAAGGAUCUCGGACCUGCCACUAGACAAGAGGACUGAAGCCUUUGGGGGGGCGUUGGGAGAUUGGUUAGGGGAGACGGUGAAGGUCGAUGUGGAUAAAUAUGGAGUUGCUAGAGGACAGAGUUUUAGGAUCCGGACUAAGAUCUCUGUGUUUGAACCGUUAAUACGUGGUAUUUACUUGAGGAAGAAGAAGGAUGAUGAGGAGAAGACAUGGUUUGACUUUUACUACGAGAAGAUACCACACUUUUGUUUUUGAUUGCGGCAGACUUGUACACAAGGGGGGUGAGUGCGAACCACCCGUUGACUCGUCGUUACAAUGGGGGGGCUGGCUUCGGGCGUCCCCAGGGACGAAACGGGAGCAAAUAUGGGUCAAGAGCUGGAGGUAUGGACAUCUAUAACAGCUACGGUAGCUCUCACACUGGUGAGACGGCUAACAACAACACCACGCACUUGAGGGUCAGGGAUAUACCUACAAAGAGAAAUCUGCAAAUUGAAUUUUUGCGCACUUCAGACGGUCGCACUGGUGACCGCCCAUUGCAUGCGUGAGGGGAAGUAUCCAGUCCAAACAAAGCUAGAGAGAAGCUCGACAUGACACGUGGGAGGGACCUCAAGGAUAGCCUUGAGGCCAGAAGGGAGACGGAGAUGAGAUGUAAACUCAUGGAGCAGCGUGUUGGGAGUCAAAGGGGUGAUCACAGGGAAGCGGAGCGCGAAGGGCAAACAAAUGAUGGUAGCAGGGGGUAUAGCAGAAACCAUGCCUCGGGGGGCCAUAACAGGCGCCAUGCAGAUCUGGAUCGGGUCGAUCCACUGGGGGGACCCGACAUGCAUGGGAACCGGGAACGACGCAGAGGCUACUACGUGAGGAAGGACAGGUCAGAUUUUCGGGAGAGACAUCGUUCGGAACCAACCUCUUGGAGAGAUGCAAAAAAUAGGAAGAGGAGGCCGAGGCAGGUGUGGAUACCAAAAGGAGAUGCAGAAGGGAGAAGUAGGGAGGAUGAGUUCAUUCGCGAUGCGAGGAGGAAGACUUCCUCGGUGUUUGACCGCAUCCAAGACAGAGAUGAUAAAGCGGCGGACCCUGGAGCCCAGGGCCGCCGAGAGCAAUGAAUCUCCUUGCCUGGAACUGUCGAGGAUUGGGGUUGGACUCGACAGUGGGCGAACUGCGAGACCUCAUUAGGUCUCACAACCCAGCGGUGGUGUUCCUUUCAGAAACAAAAAAAUCAGCUAGAGCAAUGGAAUGGUUGAAAUGGAGUCUGGGAUUCACUAGUGGAGUUGCGGUAAGUUGCAAGGGAAGAAGUGGGGGAUUGGCAUUGUGAUGGAGGGAUCAUGUUCAAGUUACAGUGAGGCCGUGGUGCCAAUACUUUCUAGAUGCUGAGAUUGCUUGGGAGGGUAAACUCUAUAGGAUCACUGGAUUCUAUGGAGAACCCAAAACCGAAUUGGGGAAAAAAUCAUGGGAUGCUAUUCGUUUUCUUCGGGCCCAAGAUAAUCUGCCUUGGCUCUGUGUCGGCGACUUUAACGAGGCCCUCUUCCAUAUUGAUCAAGUGGGGGGUAACCCAAGGUGCCUCAAUCAAAUGGAGGAUUUUCGAGAUUGCCUAGCCGACUGCGGCUUGGCUGAUCUUGGCUUCACUGGCUACCCCUACACAUGGGAUAACAAACGGGAUGGACAGGAUAAUAUUCAGGUUCGGUUGGAUCGUGCCACAUGUAAUGAUGGUUUUUGAGUUUGUUUCUUGAGACUUCAGUAGAGCAUCUGUUAUGUGAAGAAUCGGAUCACCAAGCUCUCCUGGUGCGUAUAUUGGAGACGGCUCCACAGCGCCCGGGGGUGGGGGAUUGGCCGUUCAGAUAUGAGGAGGCUUGGACCAAGCAUGAACACUAUGAGUCCAUGAUAGCGGAGGCUUGGGAAGCGGCGAGCACGGGAUAGGAGGGAGUAACGACAGUAUGGCAGAAACUAGGAAGAAUGGCGGGCUCGAUGCAGAUAUGGGCGCGCGAGGUCUUUGGGUCGAUACGAAGGAAGAUCAAACAGUUGAAAGCAUAAUUGUUGGAAGCAAAGAAACGGGCGCUUAGCUCGGGCUAUCAGCACGAGGUUCAGGAGCUAGAAGAGCAAUUGAGGGAGGUGUAUGGAAGAGAAGAAAUAAUGUACAAACAGCGCUCGAGAGUGGAUUGGCUUAAGGCAGGUGAUCAAAAUACUAAGUAUUUUCAGAACCGGGCAUCGCAUCGUAAAAGGAAGAACACCAUCAAGGCUUUGCGGCGACCGGAUGGUUCUAGGUGUACUGUGGACGAGGAGAUGAGAGUCAUGGCCGCAUCGUUCUAUGAAGAGCUGUUCAAAUCGGAAGGUUCGGUGGGGGUGGAGGGGGUGCUACAAAACAUUCAGUGGGUUGUGACACGGGAGAUGAACACGACAUUGACAACACGGAUUUCAGAUUCUGAAAUAGAGACGGCUCUAUUUCAGAUGGGACCGACUAAAGCCCCGAGGCCGGAUGGGCUCCCCGCGCUCUUUUAUCAGCGACACUGGUCGCUGCUCCGGAAUGAUAUUUGCAGAGGUGUGCGGGAUUUUUUGAGUGGAGUAGCUACACCGGAGGGUUUUAAUGCUACAGUGAUAUUUAUGGUCCCUAAAGUCAACUCACCGGAGCUGUUGUCCCAGUUUAGACCGCUUAGCUUGUGUAAUGUGCUUUAUAAGAAUGCAACAAAGGUGCUGGCCAACAGGUAAAAGAGUAUACUUCCCUUGCUUAUAUCUGAGGAGCAGAGUGCUUUCGUGCCUGGACGCCUUAUCACAUAUAACGUGCUAGUAGCAUAUGAGUGUGUCCAUGCAACUCGCAAUAGGAAGAGGAAGAGACUCUUAUGUGUUGUAAAGCUUGAUAUGAUGAAGGCCUAUGACCGUGUUGAGUGGGUGUUCUUGAAGCAGAUGAGAUGAUCAUGCGUUGUGUGACGACUGCAAGUUUCUCGGUAAAGCUUAAUGGUGCAUGCUCUAGGUGUUUCUUACCCUCCCGAGGUCUCAGACAUGGAGAUCCUCUUUCGCCUUAUUUGUUCUUAUUUUGUGUUGAGGGUUUCUCUGCACUGUUGAGGAAAGCGCAAGCAGAAAAUAGACUCAAAGGAGUGACGUUUGGGAGCACUGGCCCCCGUAUCACACAUCUCCUUUUUGCAGAUGACAACAUUGUGUUCUUGGAUAGAGACGCUAAGGGAGAUUUUAGCCAGCUACGAGCAAGCUUCGGGACAGAAGGUGAACUUGCAAAAAUCCUCGAUUUUCUUUGGCAAAGGCUGUCAGGACAACACUAAGGAAGAGCUCAAAGCGGUGUUGGGGGUGACCUCGGAAGCACUUAGUGAACGGUACCUCGGUCUUCCAACACUGGUUGGUCGAUCAAAAGAGGUCACUUUUCACUAUGUCACGGAGAGCUCAAAAGGAAAAUGCAGCGGUUGGAAGGGUUUGGGCCUUUCCAAGAAGGCAAGGGAGGUACUUAUCAAGUCUGGUCUCCAAGCAGUAACAACUUUCACCAUGAGUUGUUUCCACCUCACAAAGAAAACGUGCCAGAAUCUGAAUUCUAUCUCGUCGAAAUUCUGGUGGGGGGCAAAGGAUGGUGAGAAAAAAGUACAUUGGAUUUCAUAACAAAAGAUGUGCACCUCUAAACGGGAUGGAAGGAUGGGUUUUCGUGACCCGAUAGCGUUUAAUCAGGCUCUACUUGCAAAGCAAGCAUGGCGUGUCCUACAAUGCCCGGAGUCGUUGGUAGCAAGAGUGCUCAAGGCGCGCCACUUCAAAGAGAAAUCCAUAUUGAGCGCAACGUGUCCUGCUACGACUUCAUACACUUAUAUAAGCAUUUUGCAUGGCCGGGAUCUACUUCGAGAAGGCCUGGUUUGGAGAAUUGGAGACGGCUCCAAUGUGAGUAUACAUCACAGUAACUGGAUCCCGAGGAGCGGGUCCAUGAAGCCGUUGGGACAGAUAUAUAUCCCUAGCGUGACUAAGGUGGCCGACCUCCUUUUACCGGAUGGAAGAAGCUGGAAUCACGACCGAGUCAGGGAGAUGUUCACCCCGGACGAUGCAACUGACAUUUUGUAGAUUGUGGUGGGUGACUUGGGUAUUUACGACUACCGAGCGUGGAAUUUCACAAAGAAUGGAAUCUUCUCUGUACGAUCAGCUUAUCACCUGAAAAUGGCCAUGGUUAGAUCGCGCUCCGGACGGCCAGAGUCAUCUAGUUCGGUGGAUAAACACAAGGCGUACAUGGCCCUUUGGGGCACGAACGCACCGGGAAAGGCCAAGAUUCAUCUCUGGAGACUCAUUUCAAAUGGACUGGCAGUCGGAUCAGAACACCAUCGGCGAAGGAUAAAACCUGGGGUCUUCUGCGUUGCUUGUGGACGUGAGGAAACUAUAUUUCAUCGGUUUUGGGUGUGCCCACACUCUGUACUUUUUUGGCAGCUAUUUUGCUCGGAGAAGGGAGAUUUGGUGGCGAUCCCACCAUGCCAGAUGGACUCCCAGAGAGAGGUAGCACGUUGGCUACUGCAGUGGCUAGCGGGAGCAUCCGAUGAAGCAAAGCAGGCGACGGUGCAGGCGCUGUACAGCCUAUGGCUGGCUAGGAACGAGACAAGAGAAGGGAAGAUGAUCAAACAUCCACAUGAAAUAUUGGUUUCGAUUUUGGGGCAGAUAGAGGAGUGGGUGCUGGCACAUCCCGCUACAGGUAAUGCUCCGGCUCCCCUGCAGCAUCAGAAAUGGGAGCCACCGGACGAGGGUUGGACCAAGGUGAACUCCGAUGGCGCAACAUCAAAGAUGGGGGACAAGGCUGGAGGUGGUGCUGUGCUUAAGGAUCAUAUGCGAGCGUGCAGAGCAGGUAUGUGCCACCAUUUCAAGGAGGUAGUCGAUCCCGAGGUGGCUGAGAUCUUGGCAUGUAAGCAGGCUCUUGAGGUAGCAAAAGAAAUCAAUGCGACACUAGUGUAUGUGGAGUUAGACUCUCAAGGAGUCGUGCAGAUGCUGAAGAAACACACAAAGGAGCUUUCGGCGUCCGGGCCACUGGUGGAGGAGAUCAAAUCCUUGUUGCGAUCCUUUGUUGAUUGGGGGCUACUGGUGGAGGAGUGGGUGACGAACUAUGUAAGGUUUGGUUGGGGGCUCCUCCGGACAUCGUUCUUUCUGUUUUGUCGGAUGAGAUUCCGAACAUCGUAAGUUAAUAAAGCGGCAGUAUUUUCCCUCGAAAAAAAAACCCGACGAAAGAUUAUACAGGACAAAUCUUGAUACAAAACAAAUUGACAAAUAAGAUUACGUUUUGGCUAUAAAUCAUAGAGUUUCUGUCAUUGCUUAUAAAUUGACAAAAUGGCUAUGUGUCCAUGAUUUAUCCGUUGAGUUGCCAAAUAUAAAAAGACUGAUUGCUAUUUAGUUGUGAGGUAAAUACACCGAGAAUGCCUAAAUAAAGUAUCUCUACUUUUAUUCUCAUGACUUUGGAACCAUAUGAUUCCCCGACAAUAAAGAAACAUCGUCGUUACCUGACAGAAGCAACGUUUUUUUAAGAUACCCCUCCGUUCAGAAAUACAAGAUGUAGUACUUGUUUUUUCUAAAUAUGUAGACCCGUUUUAGUGUGAUUGUUCACUCAUUUCAGUCCAUAUGUAGUUCAUAUUAAAAUAUCCAAAACAUCUAAUAUUUGUGAGUGGAGGGAGUACAAAUUUCUAUUAAAAUUUUGUUUCACAAUAAAAAACCACUCUUCAAAACAAACGAUCUUGCUACCACAGUUACAACAUAUUACUAUAUCUCAGAAAAUAAAUUUCUGGACUAACAAUUCAACACACAGAUCACAUAUAUAUAAAGUGGCUGCAUGCAUCUCCCAGAUGCAGAGGCCGGGGUUCGUCCUCCUUUUCUAAAAAGAAGAUCACAUAUAUACGCCCCUGUGAAUGAUAUAGGAUAAUUGAUUGUGUUAUUCACAUGGAUGAACCGUAUGGUACAACUAUAGACAUGACAAAUAUGGUGAGGAACAUGUGGAUUUGAAUUGCCGACUUCCAGCAUGACAGAAUAAGGCCAUCAAGAAUCUGGAUUGAUGACUUCCAGGCUCCAACGUCACCAGAAAGGACGCAUUCGUUCUCAAAAAAAGAACGGACGCAUUCUUAUGCCAUUGAGCAUGAAAGGGACUACUGCAAAAAUGCCCUGCAGGAGAAUUUUUUGUUAUAGCCAACAAAAACUGGAAUAAUUUAAAUGCACUACAACGUCAGGCAUCGAGCUCGACCUCAACAGUUCAACUGACCUAAUUUCUUUGGCACAACUCUCCGUGUAACAUUCAGGUCGAGAGAGGCAAACUUUCUAUUGCGACAUGCCAUUGUAGAUGUACCAUUCGACACAAACUAAGCCAAAGGCAUAUACAUCAAGCCAUAUGGUAAGCGAGGCUACUUGUUUGUUCCAUGUUCAUGUCUCAUGCGACAAUUUCUGAUAUUGUAGCUCGUAGCUCUGAAUAUUUAUCUUCUCAAAAAUGAUGCAGCUCCAUGUUAUUUCAACUGUUCAGCUGGGUUGGUUCUUGUUUCUAGGCAUAAUAACCAAGGGAACAUAUGCUAACAAGUCAAUAUCCUAGCGCAGAUGUAGGAUGUUGUGUUCAUCGUUGCUUACUACUAGCAUUUCAAAACGGCCCUUAAUGGAUGAUUUUUAGUGCACUUCUCAACCACAUAAUGAGUAACUAACAAAAAGGUCAAUGGUGCUAGUGGUAUAUUUUUUAACUGAAGAAGAAACACUUUAAAUUUUUUGCUUCUUCUUUUUUUGAGAUAGAAGCACUUUCAGUCUCAGAAACAAAGAUCACACAGCUUUAUAAAAUCAACUUUACAGGAAGUAUUCGUGUAAGGAAACAUUAAUAAGUAUCUAAGUGUUUUCAGUUCAUUUUAUACAAAAGACAAACAACAGCCCUUUUCUUUUGCACUGGAAGAAAAUGCUAGUACUAUGUGAUAAGCUUUAGAAAAUGGAGUACUUACAGCAACUGUGCAGACAAUCAAUCCAGGCUUCUCCCGGUGAUCCAAAGCAACAAAGAAUAGAAGAAAAGCACCAAUAUACCAGGGAAUUGCAGCCAAGAAGAACCCUAGUAAGAACCUUCAAAACAAAACCAACCUAAAGUCUUUAAUAUGGACUGAUUGUGCUUUCAUUUUAAAUUUGCAGGUAAGAACAAUGAACUUAUAGAAACUCCUCAAUAUGAAUAUUAUACCGAUGAUAAAAGAUGUCAGUUUACUAGUAGAUAGCAAAGCAGUAGACAACACACUCAGAAGUAACCAUGCCAGUUUAGGAUAAUCCUCUGCUGAUGCAUCAACUUAUAUCCUAAUCCAAUUCCAGUACCAUUUGAUCGCACCAUAUAUUAUAACUAUGGCCAUGGGCCCUUACCAACCAGACCAAUACCAGUACUAGCACCUCACAAAUUCUCACUAGCAAGCAUAUCUUACAAAUGCUGCUCGCCGAACUUGUUAAUGAAACAGUUAGUCGUGCAAUCCCCCAUUCACAUACCAAGUACUCAUACAGUCAUACUGAACCAAUUGCUCAUACUGUUACCUACUUCAAGAGCUUCUUAACUUUGCCACACCGGUAGCAUUGGAGACAAACACCACCAAAAGGAGGAAGGACACUUACAAAGCCCAGCCGACGCCGACGCCGCAGAACGGCAGCCGCGGCUCCCGGACUGGGAGGCCCUCCACGAAGACCUGCUGCUGGAUAGUGCACGGGAAAGCAACAACGCCCUGAGCACUGCGUCCUGCGCGCCAAGACACAUACGCACACACACACAGGGAGUCAUUUCAGUCUCCACAGAGAAGGGCCGGAGCUGGAGGGUAGUGCGAGAGAAGGAGCGCUGACCUUUCAGGGAGGGGUCGUAGGCGACUGCAGCGACGGGCGGCGGCGGAGCAGGAGGGGAGAAGGUGCCGUAGUGGUGGUGGUAGUAUGGGGGAGGGCUGGUGCCGGCGAAGGGGGAGGCGGAGGGGAGCUUGGAGGUGGGGUCCCUGGUCUGUUGCAUCGCCAUGGACGAACGAAUUUCGAGAGAUCUCGAGGCGUGGUGGUGUGCGCUGUGUACUUCUGGAAGGGGAGGAAAAUGUCGCCGGUUUUGGGAAAGAAUAUAGACGGUGGAGGAAGCGCGUCCGUCUAUCGUGCGAGAGGUGGACUGAAUAUAAUGGUUUGUUUUAGAUGGGUGGAUUAAAAAACAUCUUGGUCUUUUUUAUCCGAAUUCCAAGGAUUUACGAAAAUUUAGAGGAUUUUUUAGGGAAAAACAUUCUUUUAUUUUUGAGGGAGGGAAACACAUUCAUUAAUUAAAUCAGGUUCGGAAUGUCAUUGGCUACAAGAUCCAGAAUGAAAUCUGGAGGUACCUCACACACACAUGGGAUCUUUCAUCUCCUACACCAACCCUAACUAGCUUGUGAGCAGCCUCGUUCGCUGAACGCCGAGUCCACACGACCCUGUAGUCCAUAAACUCUCUCGACAAAUUCUUUAUUUCCUGCACCCAAGGGCCAGACGACGCCAAGUUCUUCUCCAGGCAGUUGAUCAUCCUCACAACACUUUGGCAAUCCAGUUCAACACAAAUCCGCUGCACAUGCUGCUCUCGAGCCAACUGAAGAAGCUUCAGGCAGGCCAUGAUUUCGGCACUUUCCGGGUCGUCACAAUGAGGGAGGAAAUGUCAGGCCGCCGUCACAAAGCCCCCAACAUGAUCAGCAAAGAUUUAUCCUCCACCCCUUUAUCUCUUUGUUUGGCUACCGCCCCAUCCGCAUUCCUUUAAUCCAGCCUUCCUCUGGCACCUCCCACCGCUACACCAUCUUGGCAACCGUCGACCUCUCCGGCACAGCAUGAGCUUCCCUCCAUUGACGCAUGGAGGAUGACACCCGAGGAGGACCUCUGGAGGGGAAACCAUCCUCUUACCAUCCCGCGCUUCAUUCCUGGCGAGCCACAGCCCAUAUGUGGCAUGAAUCAUAGCUUCUUUCUCAUCGCCCUUCGCCGAAGCAAACCAAUCCAGCAGCCAGUCAACCAACUCUCUCUAGGAAUCCAUCUGGCAAGGUGGUAGCGCUAUCCCCACGCCAUGUUUUGAUCGCAUCAUCUUCCAAAAGUGGGCAGAAUGUUGGCAUCCCCAAAACCUAUGGAAGACCGUCUCUUCUCUUCCGCAAACUGUGCAAAAAACACCCGGCUUGAUUCGUCGCCUAUGGAGCUCAGACCCAACAAACCAAACCGUUUCGAACCAGGCGCCACACAUGGAUCUUUGCCUUGCCCGGGGCGUCUGAAUCCCAAAGGGUCAGAUAUCCCUUGUGCUCCGCCACCGAAUUAGAUGCCUCUGGCCAUCCAGAACGCAUCCGCUUCAUCGACAUCUUAAGGUGAUAGGCAGAUUUAACCGAUAGCACCCCGUUUCGUGUGAAACUCCAAGCAAGAUAGUCCUCGGUUCCCAGCCCACCGACCGCUAUCUGCUUGAUAUCAUAUGCAUUGUCAGCUCAGAACAUGGAGUCCACCUUUGUUUCAUCCCAAGUCGUACCAUCCCGCGACAAAAGAUCAACCACCUUUGUUACCCUCGUGACAAAGGUCUGGCCCGGUGGCCUCAUACACCCUGUCCGCGGAAUCCAAUUACCGUGGUGGAUAUUAACCGAAGAACCAUCACCAAUCCGCCAAAUGGACCCCUCUCGCAGCAGCUCUCUUCCAUGGAUGAUACUUCUGGAAGUGAAAGAACCAGCUGCGGGACACACCGCAUUCAUAAUGGAGCAGUCCGGGUAGUAGCAAGCCUUUAACACGCGAGCACACAAGGACGAUGACUGCUCUAGGGGGUGAGGGAGUCCUGGACUAAGGGGUCCUCGGGCGUCCGGGCUAUGUGAUAUGGGCCGGACUGAUGGACCGUGAAGAUACAAGAUAGAAGACUUUUUUCCGUGUCCGGAUGAGACUCUCCUUUGCGUGGAUGGCAAGCUUGUCAUGCGGAUCGUAUGACUUCCUUUCUCUGUAACCGACUCUGUACAACCCUGGAUCCCUUCGGUGUUUAUAUAAACCGGAGGGUUUAGUCCAUAGGCCCGAUCACAACCAUACAGGCUAGACAUCUAGGGUUUAGCCAUUAGGAUCUCGAGGUAGAUCAAUCUUGUAACCCCUAUACUCAUUAUAGUCAAUCAAGCAGGAAGUAGGGUAUUACCUUCAUUAAGAGGGUCCGAACCUGGGUAAACAUCAUGUCCCCUACCUCCUUGUUACCUUCGAUCCUUAUAUGCACAGUUCAGGACCCCCUAUCCGAGAUCUGCCGGUUUUGACACCGACAGGAGGCGCCACGCUUGCUUGGCCAACAAGGCUUGACUGAACGCCUCGAGGUCCCUAAAGCCAAGUCCUCCUUCCUUCCUAGCCUCACACAUCUUGUCCCAAGAUAUCCAAUGCACCUUCCUCUCACCAUUUGUUGCUCCCACCAGAAUUUCGACGAGAUUGAUUUCAGAGGCUCUAAGCGAAAAAUAUUUGGGCCUACCCACACGGGUGGGGAGGUCCAAGGACGACGCUUUUAGGCAUGUCUUGGAGAGCUCAAAGGGUAAAGUUGGAGGAUGGAAGGGGCAGGGUCUAUCUAAGAAGGCCCGGGAAGUUCUAGUGAAAUCAUCGCUUCAAGCUACACCGACCCACACUAUGAGUUGCUUCCAACUCACUAAGAAAAUGUGCAGGAACCUGAAAAUUUAGACGAUCUGAUCCGUAGAAAUACGGAAAUGCUUGCACUCAGCCGGCUGAAAGUACGUCGCACGUCGACUGCCUCGUUUGCUUGGCGCGUGCCCAUGGACCCCACUUUCUAAAAACACGAGUCUUCUCAUGUCCGCUUGUUCGUCCCAAUAUUUCACACUCCUAUCCUCUUCUUCUAAGCAAAUGUCACUCCACCGCACCUCAGAUACGCUACUGCGAGCGAAGGGGGACGCGGUACGGGGAACUGUCGUCGCCCGCCAAAGCUCUCAUCAGCAGAAGCCUGUGUGACGCUUCAAGGCGAUGGCCUCAUGGAUGCAAUGGACAUUGCGACGCCGCUACAAAAGGGGUUUUCGUCGUGGCAUAGUGCUACAAGCCUGCCGGGGUGCUGUGUGCCGGCCACCCAGGUGCUGGAUGCCGACAAUAAUGUUGCGACUAUCAGUAGGAACAUGCAUGUUGGGCGCACUAGUUUGCAGCAUGGCCAUUGUUGCAGAAACAUCAUCGGUUGUGGAGGCGCUAAUGAUGCGGGCCGCUGGGCUGCAACGUCGCUCAUGUUUCUGAAACAUCAUCGGUGUUGCAGACCGGCCAUGUUGGCGGCCGUUGUGAAAUGAGGGACGCUUUGGAACAUUGCCCAUAUUUUGGAAACAUCAUUGGUGUUGCGGACAUUCCAUGGGGGUUGAUCUGACGGUGGGAAAACAUCGCCCAAGAUAUUCUAAGUGGGGUCUGUCUAGGACACAUCUAGAUGUGAUAUAGUUAUGUCACAUCUAAACUGAUCUCCACUCUGUUUAUGGUCUAUUUUUUUGGUCCUUGUUUUUUUUAUUUCUUGUUGCUGCAUUAUCUAUUUAUGGGAGCUUAGACGUGACAUCCUUAAAAAAUAUCUAAAUGUGAAUUAGACUAACUGUUCUAAGUGUGUUGUUUGAUUCAUAUAUAUCGCAACUUAUAGGAUAUAUUUUUUCUUAGGAUUCUUUUCCAUCAGAAAUCAUAGGAAUUGUUUCGUCAACUCCAACCUCAUGCGUGGAACUGAAUCAUAUAUAUCGUGCAAUCAUGUGGUGGUAUUCAAGAUGACACAACACUCUAUUCAUGUGUCUUCUCUCCUAAGCAUGACAGAGAGAAGGUAAAUAGGAAGUAGAGUAGUCGCGCUGAGCACUCCCCAAAUAUCAUCUUCACAUAUGAACUGUCCCGACUUGCGGUGCACGCCGUAAGCCGGGAUGGGGAAGAUCGAGGCGGGCGGCGGAGGAGGAGCGCGCGUGGAUGUCCAUCUUGUUCUCAUCCUCAUACAUGUGGGGAAAAAACCUCCCUUAUAAAGAGGUCCAACUCCCUCUAAACUAGCAAUGUGGAACUAAACUUUAGCUCCACCUCUUGCCUUGCACGAAUGGGCUGCGUGGGCCUCUAGGAUUUAUUAGGAAUUUCUGAAACUACUAUUAGGCUAGGCCCAAAAUAGACAAAAUUCCAGCACGUGCAACCGAUUUCCAACCAUGUGGCCGAGCAUUGAAUGAACAGUUUUGCUAGAACUCAUCUAGAUGAGAUGUAAUUUGGUCUCAUUCACCUUUUAUAGUCAUUAGAUGUGAUGCUAUAGAUGCGUGUGUGCUGACGUGGGUUGUAUCUGUUCUUAUUUUCAAAAUGAACGAGACCAAAUUAUAUCUCAUCUAGAUGAGUUCUAGGUACUCCCUUUUUUUUAGCAUCAGUACAGACACAAGCGCUCAUAUACACGCGCAUACACUCAUCCCUAUGAACGCACACACGCACACCCUACCCCUAUGAGCACCUCCGAGAGACUGAACCGGCAUAUCAUCUUGAGAUUUACGAAGUCACCGUAGGCGCCUCAUCGUCGACGGGAACGUCUUCUCCCACUGAAAGCGCAUCGCCGGAAAUCCUGAAAUAAAUCCAGGAAUAAUGCGAGCACAGAAUUUGAACCCUGGUGGGUUGGGGAAACCACUGUCCACCUAACCAACUCAACGUUGAUUCGCAGUUCUAGGUACUCCCUUGAAUGAAUCUGAUGGGAUGUCGUGGGUUCUCUUUGGAUAAACCAACACGGUAGGUUUUAUAGGGCAAGAAGUUCCACGGAUAAAACAUGGUAGGUUUUAUACUUCUGAAUAUCCAUUGAUGAACCGCGACUUACAAGUUAGAACAACACACUUCACUGACGCCGUAUUAGGCACAUCGCUACUAAUCCCUAUCUAAUUAGGCUCAAGAACUCAUUUCUGUUUAACAGAAGCAAACAUAUCCUUGAGGAGGCGACUUGGAGCAUCAGCUCCGGUGACAAUCUCGACGACCUUGUAGGAAGACUCCUCCGGGCAUAACAAUGCUUCCACAGCCACUUCUGCAACCUGGUCUCUCGAUAUGGAGCCCUCGUAGAGAGUGUCCUGCAAAUAAUCCACAAAUGAACAUCGUAUGUUUUGGCUGUAUGAGCAACAAUCUCUCGCUCAAAAAAAAAAAAAUCUCUCGAAUAACAAGGUUCAUGGAGAAGUGUGCGUGCUAUUGCUUACCUCUGGCUCCAUGACAAUGUUCCCAGUUGGCGGUUGUUCUGUGAGCCCUCCAGGCCUCACAAUCGUGUAAUUUAUUCCUGACCCCCUGAUGUAUUUCUCCGCCUGCAGCUUCGCAACGAGCACUAAGCCGAACAGAUUGAGCACGAUGUAGGCUGGAUUCAGAAGUUGACCCAUCGCGGCCCCAUUCACUAAAAUGGAGCUCACGAGUAUGAAUCUUGUAACGCCAGCCUUUCGGCAUGCUUCCACAAGAUUCACCGUCCCCAGGUUGUCCACCUGCAGUGGCAUAAUUUUCAGCUAGCUAUCACUUGCAGGAGCAAAGCUUAACUCUUUUUACACGGGCAAGAGCGUGUCAAUCAGAAGUUCAGAACCAUUCAGGCAAGAAACUGAACUCCUACUUCGGUUGCAGUUGCGGACAAACCUUCCAGGGAGCAAAGGGGUCAAAGGACCGCCGGAAGCCCGUCGCGCAGACGACGGCGUCGACGCCGCGCACGGCCUCGACCAGCUUGUCGGCGCCCUCCGUCACGUCGGCCCUCACCUGCAAUUCAGGAUUCAGCCGACACGCGUCUCACGGCAUGGCUACUGGCAGAAGAGUAGGAAUGCGACUGUACUGAAGUAGAGAUGAACUAACGAGCUGGAGGUUGGGGUCCUGGGGCAGGCUGCCGCGGGCCCUGCCCACGUCCGUCGUGCCGGCGACGACGCCGAAGCCCCUCUCCAGCAGCUUCGCCACGACGCGCUUGCCGGUUUUCCCCGUCGAGCCGGCCACGAAGACGGUGGUCGUCUUCUUGGCGCCCGGAGCGCUCGCCGAUGCCUCGUCCAUACUCAAGGCGGCCGGGCGGGUGACGUGGAGCUUUCGCGUGGUCGGGGAGAGGCAGGCGAGCACGAGAGGCAGGCGGGGGCGGGCGGUGGUGGCGUGGAAAACACCGGCCAUGGGUUAUGUGUGGCCUGUGGGUCUGUUCGUUUGAGAUGUCUCUAGUAUCCUCUUGCUUGUUCGUUUGUGUACUACUAGUACACUUUGUUGGAGACAUUUACUAGGGUUCUGUAAUGACUAUCAUCAUGUCAACGUAACCUUGUUUGGAUGAAAUUAGACUAAAGCACCCUUUAACUGUAAGUCAAGAAGAUAUGAAAAAAGGAAGUGUAGAUGCAGUGUAUGUUUAAAAUUUUAAAUGCAGAAUUAUUUCAAAAAUAAACAAAUCCAUAGAUAUUUUUGUUGAAAUUUGACCAAACAAUUAAACUUGUUUGAAAUUCAGCUGGAAAAUAAGAGAUACGGGUGGAUGAAGUGAAACUGGGUGGUUGAGAAAAACAUUCCCAAUAACAAAGUGAUAAUCUCUUAAAGCGAUAAAGUUUUGUCAGUAUAGUUAAAUAUUGAUCAAGGUGUGAGGACCCGCCUAUUUGUUGGAUCGACUGAAAUUUUGUAUUUCUAAGUCCUUGAUUUAAGCACAUAUCUUUUUUUUAGAAAAGGAGGAUGACCUCCUGCCUCUGCAUCUGGAAGAUGCAUGCGGUCAUUUUAUUGAUUAUUCUCGAGGAUCUUAUAAAGUAGUACAACAAUAUGCCUGAAUUCACCAUCUUGGCAACAUCUGCCGCUACUCCAAUCCAUAUGAUAAAGGGGUGCAAGCUGGGCCAAAUACCCAGACCUCUCACCUAGCCUAACAUGUAAAGCCGGAGGCCCCGACCGAGCCACAUACCGGGUCCGGUGCACAAACCGGUCCGACGCACUCACAUGUGUCGUCGCCGCCAUCUUCCACUGGUCCAUCUUCAGAGCAGAUUGAGGUGCCAACCUUGGCAGGUGCCUCCGCCAUCGACGUCACGAUGACGCCAAACGACGACCUCCACCUACGCUAGUCCAUCUCCAAGCAACGGACGCAGAUCCAUGCUAGGAUAGGACCGCACCACCGCCGUCGCCCACCACCCACAAGCGUCACCCAGCUCCAAGGUUCCCAAACCGGCCCUUCAAGAAGGGAACGGCGCCAUGAGCGCCGUCGCCGCCCAACAAAGUUAGGGCUUUCGCCCGGGAGACCUAGGGGAAGGGAAAGUGAGGGGAUCAGUCCAUACCGACGCCUCCAAGGAGGGGAACGACGCCCUCAGACGUCGCCGUCGACGCGGCCGGCCAUGGCCGACCAGGGGCUUCUCCCAAACUAGAUCCCCGCCACCAGUAGAGCCUCCUGUACAGAACCGGCGAAGCGCGACCCGGCGAGGCUGGCUCGCACGCCGAACAGGGGAGGAGGGGAGGCGCCAGAUCGCGCACACUGGCCACCGCAGAAACCGCCGCCGGCCGCCAAUGACCACCGGAUCCCGCCGCCCGCGCGGCCGGGACGCCAGAUCCACCACCCGCACGGCUGCUAGCUGGCCGUGCCUUGCCAAUGGAGCCACCGGUCCAGAUCCGGGGUUCCCCACGUAGAUGCAGGGCAACCGAUGCCCCGCCGCCACUAUCCUUGGCGCCACGGGCUUACCCGAUGGCUGCCUCAAGCGGCGGCGAGGAAGGGAAGAGGAGGAGGGGCAGCUAGGGAGGAGGAGGGAGGAGGGGCGACUAGGGUUGGGAGGGAGGAGGAGGAGGUGCGGCUGCCUGUCUGUCCCUUUAAGCACAUAUCUUCAUUCAACAAUGGGAGGCAAGACCUCUGCCUUCUCCGAUGCAACAUACUCCCUCUAUAACUAAAGCCAUGACAAGUAUUUUAAAAUAGAGGAAGUACUAAAUUGUCAAGUCUAGAUGGUUUCCCUGCUAAGUGUUUUAUUACUUCCAUGAGGUUGUGUUAUCUCUUCAUAGUGUAAAUUAUGUGGGUAAUAGCUAUUAUUGGCCAUAAAGUCAAAUGUUUUUUUUAGUAUUUUGGUUUUGGUGACGUGUUGGAUUUCUCAGGCGUGUUUCAUCUCUCGGAGAACUUAAUCAUUAUUGUCACCAAGUUUUGUAAAAUUAAGAAAGAAAUGGUGGUCAAAUUUUGGUAUAUUAGUGGAGGUGUCACUCAGUAUUAUCUCGAAUAAAAAAAGUGAAUAACAUGGAAGUUGAUUUUCUUUCCUUUUUGAUCAUUUUGGUCAGAGGUUGUAUGCAAGACAAUGAAACAUACAACCGAUUUAUUGAACUAGUGUCAUAGGGCAAAAGGCUGAGCACUAAGCGCCCAAUGAUACGUCGUACCUCAUGGGGACAAGUGUGACAUUGACCCAAUAUUCAUGUACAAGAUCCAUUUCUUGUGAAAAGGCAUGUGAGAUAUGAAAGGUUGGAGUUGCAUAUGCAACUAUCAAUAUGAUUUUAGUUGACAGGUUUUAGAGUUUAAGCUACAAUUUCCAAGAACACCAUGAAGCAUGCAAGUUAUAAGAAACGUAACAUGAAGGCAAAACUUCCAAUAAGUAAACUAGGAAGAAAAAGGGAUCACAUGCAUUGAGAUGUUUCCCAUGGUUUGGAUUAUUGGUCUAAUCCUAUGCUAUUGUUGGUGGAUGUUUGGAUACAAAGCCCUAAGACCAUAAAGGUCUUGGCUUUCCAACCACCAAGGUAUAAGACCACCUAUCCCACCAUGGCCUACCACCAAGGUGGGUCCUAACUUGAGGUCGAUAUUCACACCAAGUAGUCGAUUUAUGGCCUUAUACAAACUUCUUAGCUCCUACACAAGUGAUCUGAAUCAUCUAGGAGGCACACACACACACACCUUCCAGUAGUACUUUGCUAGGAUGAGCUCCCCGUAAGAUGAACAAACUAUGCUUAAGAACCCAUAAAUCUCUCUGUUAUCUCUCAAGGAUCAAAGGGAUAGGAUAGGGGAAAUAGAGGUGAAUGACAACGCAAAAGGGCUCUCUCAACAAUAUGUUCAACCUUCUAAAGUUUGUUACCCAACUCAACGGAUAGGAGUGUAAAAUCCUACACAUAUAACCACUAUGGUCUACAGAUCUGGAUGUAUUUUUUUAUUAUUUCUAGUAUUCAUUGUACUGUCAUGAUUGAAGAUGAAUAGAUCGGAAGUUUUCUCACAAAAAGGUCUAAGCCCACCUAUCCAACCAAGGUUGAGACCUCAAUCAGGUAAACCUUUGCACGAAGUAGGUGGUCUCUGGCCUUACAAACUUCAUGGAUCCUCCAUGACUCCAAAGCGUCCAGUAAUGGUUGAUGCAAUUCAAACCUCUAGUUUCACUUUUCCAAACAUCCAGAUCUUGGCACAUGAAACAAAGUAAGCCAGUCACAUUAAAACAUAAAAAAAUUACAUGCCAAGGCAACAAAAAAUGUUGAGAGAAAAUUAACCAGUUUAAGAUCUGAAUAAAUUCAGCAAUGAAUCAAAUUAAAAUACAACGAAAAUUACAAUACGUCCGACUAGAUGGUCUAGAGUUAAAUGUAAGUUAUAUACUACACCAUUCCUCUGAGUAGAAGUGGCAUUAGCUGCACAUAGAUAGAUAGAUAGAUAGAUAUAGAGAUAGAUAGAUAGGUAGGUAGGUAGAGAGAGAGAGAGAUAGAGAGAGAGAGAUGCUUCUUGCACCAUACCUAAGUACAAUUUUUUGGGGAAACGUUGCAUGGGAAACAAAAAAAAAUCUGCGCACACGCAAGAUCUAUCCAUAGAGAUGCAUAGCAACGAGAGGGGGAGAUCAUCUUCAUACCCUUGAAGAUCGCUAAGUGGAAGCGUUUAUCAACGCGGUUGAUGUAGUCGUACACCUUCACGAUCCGUCCGAUCAAGUACUGAAUGUACGACACCUCUGCGUUCAACACACGUUCAGCUCAAUGACGUCCUCACCUUCUUGAUCCAGCAAGACAUGACAAGUAGUAGAUGAGUUCCGGUAGCAUGACGGCAUGGUGACGGUGUUGGUGAAGAACAAUCUCCGCAGGGCUUCGCCUAAGCACUACGGAAACUAUGACGAAGGACAAACUAGAGGGGACGGGGUUGCCGGCACACGGCUUGGUGAAUCUUGGGUGCUAGCCCUGCCCCUCUAUUUAUUUGUUGAGCUCUGGAGUCGAAACUUGGUGUAAAAGCCUCCUCAAAGUCGGUUUUGCCCGAAAGGCAAGAGUCCUUCUCGGACUCUAGGGCUAGACGCCAGGGUUCCCGACGUCUACCCCCUAGCUUCUGGUCUCCGCAAAACUCCCUUUUGCACUUUCCAAAAACCUCGUGGGCUUUCCCCUUUGGCCCAAAUAAAGUGUUCUCGUACCCAAACAUUUCGGGAAACAUCUGGAAUCCCUUCCGCUAAAUUCUGGAACCCUUCCGGAGAUCAAACACUACUAUCCCAUACAGGGCCGGUCCUGAGAUUUUGGGGGUCCGGGGCCAAACUAGAACAUGGGCCCCAUAGUAUAAACACUUGAAAUAACGAAGCAUUAUUGUGUCAAGAAAUAAUGAAGAAAAGCAACGAACAUUAAGUUUCAUACAAAACUCUACCCAUCUAUCACAUUUUCCCCACAAAAUGUGUGAACCUGUGCAAUCCCUAACUAGUGCACUACUUAUGAGGUAUAAACAAAAGCUAGUAGUUUCAACAGAAUGAAUCGAAAUGCAUGUUAAGAACCAUAUUUAUUUAUUAAUCAAGAAGAACUAGCCAAGUGCAGGCCUCACCUGCAGGUAUAUAAAAAUCGCCCUGAAAUUUUUUAAAAUUUAGGAUGCUAGAAAACUUUAACAUCCAGCAAAAAUCUCGGCAAUCAACAACAAUCUAUAGGGUCAUAUGUGAGUUUAAGAUGAUGGAUUCUAAGAAAAAUGUGGCAAACCUGUUGGGCAAUUCAAGCUUAACAUGUUACCUGGCGAAUCAUGUUAAUCUCUUCUUCUAAAUGGUCAGUACUAGCAAGUCUUCUGCGUUUAUUUUUCUGAACAUAGUCUUCUGUGUUUAGAAAGUCUUCUUUCUAUCCACAUCGUGAGGUGCACAUCGCUGUAACAAACUAAUAUUAAAUUCGAUACUGACACAACAAACUAAGGAAGAGGUUACCUUAUCUAACAAUAAACAGGCAAAUUCCCCACGGCACAGACUACGGAAAAAUUGCCGCCGCCUGUUGACGACUUACAAGGGGCGUCUUUGACUGAAGUUAUAGCUUGAGCGAUGACCCUGCCGCUUAUGUUGCUAUUCCCGUCGGAUGCUACGGCCUUAAGACGAAGGCGCCGAGCCGUCGAGACGAACUGGCGAAGGGCAAUUAGGGCAUGAGAUCGGGAGAGAAGCAAACGCCGUGCCUGCGUAUUCCUUUUUUUCUUCGUGUAGGCUCACAUCUCACGGAGACCGCUCCAAGUCGAGAGUACGGGCCAGUAUGAGCCAGAGGAUAAUAACACCAGUACAAAGGCUGACGUGACAUACCGGCCGGGGCCCCCCUCACGAUCUGGGGGCCAGUGCGGCCACCCCGUUCGCCCUGCUCCAGGGCCGGGCCUGAUCCCAUAUAUCAAUCUUUACCUCCGGACCAUUCCGGAGCUCUUCGUCAUGUCCGAGAUCUCAUCCGAAACCCCGAACAACAUUCGGUCACCAACAUACAUAACUCAUAUAUACUAUAUCGUCAACAAACGUUAAGCGUGCGGACCCUAUGGGUUCGAGAACUAUGCAGACAUGACCGAGACACCUCUCUAGUCAAUAACUAAUAGCAGAACCUGGAUGCUCAUAUUGGUAUCUACAUAUUCUAUGAAGAUCUUUAUCGCUCGAACCGUUAUGACAACAUACGCAAUUCCCUUUGUCUAUCGGUAUGUUACUUGUCCGAGAUUCAAUCGUCGGUAUCUCUAUACCUUGUUCAAUCUUGUUACCGGCAAGUCUCUUUACUCAUUUUAUAACACAUCAUCUCGUGACUAACUCCUCAGUCUUUUGCUUGCAAGCUUAUGAUGUGUAUUACCGAGAGGGCCCAGAGAUACCUCUCAGAUACUCGAAGUGACAAAUCCUAAUCUCGAUGUAUGUCAGCUCAACAAACACCUUCGGAGAUACCUAUAGAGCAUCUUUAUAAUCACCCAGUUACAUUGUGACAUUUUAUAGCACACAAGGCAUUCCUCCGGUAUCCGGGAGUUGCACAAUCUCAUAGUCGAAGGAAUAUGUAUUUGACAUGAAGAGAGCAAUAGCAAUAAAACCCAACAAUCAUUAUGCUAAGCUAAGGAGUGGGUCUUGUCCAUCACAUCAUUCUCCUAAUGAUGUGAUCCCGUUAUCAAAUGACAACUCAUGUCCAUGGUUAUGAAACCUUAACCAUCUUUGAUCAACGAGCUAGUCUAGUAGAGGCUCACUAGGGACACAUUGUUUUUAUGUAUUCACACAUGUAUUAAGGUUUCUAAUCAAUACAAUUCUAGCAUGAAUAAUAAACCUUUAUUAUGAAUAAGGAAAUAUAAAAUAACAACUUUAUUAUUGCUUUGAGUCUGACUCAACUUCACACCUUGUAACACAGGCAAGAACCUUUUCUUUGACUGAUCCAUUUUGAACUUAUUGAAAACUUUCUCAAGGUAUGUGCUUUGUGAAAGUCCUAUUUAAGCGUCUUGAUCUAUCUAUAUAGAUCUUGAUGCCCAAUAUAUAAGCAGCUUCACUGAUGUCUUCCAUUAAAAAACUCAUAUUCAGGUAUCUUUUUAUGCUAUCCAUAAAUUCUAUAUCAUUUCCAAUCAACAAUAUGUCGUCUACAUAUAAUAAAAAACACUACAGAGCUCCCACUCACUUUCUUGUAAAUACAGACUUCACCGAAAGUCUGUAUAAAACCAUAUGCUUUGAUCACCUCAUCAAAGCGUACAUUCAACUCCGAGAUGCUUGCUGUCGGUGUCAAAACCGGCGGAUCUCGGGUAGGGGGUCCCGAACUGUGCGUCUAGGCGGAUGGUAACAGGAGACAAGGGACACGAUGUUUUUACCCAGAUUCGGGCCCUCUUGAUGGAGGUAAAACCCUACUCCUGCUUGAUUAAUAUUGAUGAUAUGGGUAGUACAAGAGUAGAUCUACCACGAGAUCAAGGAGGCUAAACCCUAGAAGCUAGCCUAUGGUAUGAUUGUUGUUCGUCCUACGGACUAAAACCCUCCGGUUUAUAUAGACACCGGAGAGGGUUAGGGUUACACAGAGUCGGUUACAAUGGUAGGAGAUCUACAUAUCCGUAUCGCCAAGCUUGUCUUCCACGCCAAGGAAAGUCCCAUCCGGACACGGGACGAAGUCUUCAAUCUUGUAUCUUCAUAGUCUAGGAGUCCGGCCAACGGUGAUAGUUCGGCUAUCCGGACACCCCUUGAUCCAGGACUCCCUCAGUAGCCCCUGAACCAGGCUUCAAUGACGACGAGUCCGGCACGCAUAUUGUCUUCGGCAUUGCAAGGCGGGUUCCUCCUCCGAAUACUUCAUAGAAGAUUUUGAACACAAGGAUAGUGUCCGGCUCUGCAAAAUAAGUUCCACAUACCACCGUAGAGAGAAUAAUCUUUACACAAAUUUAAUCUGCUGACGUAUUCUGUAGCGUGACGUCACACCACGGCCAAACUUUUACUGGAAUCGUUUUUAUUGUCCCACCUCAGCGCGUUUAGCGAGGCGGUUUCCUUGGUACGUCUUGUCAAAGCAGAGAUCGUGUCCCCUUAUUCCGGGAUUCUCAUCAAUACGGGCGUGGGUAACCCAACCGCACCAUUGAUUACGACGCUUGGGAGAUAAGCGAGUUUUAUCAGGCCGGUGGGGACACAUAGUUUCGUCCGUCCAUAUAAGGGGAUAAGGAUCCAUCUUUGUACCUACGCCUUCUUCUUCCUUUGCUUAUCCAUUUUCGUGCACUCGAGCACCAGCGCCCAAGUCCGCACAUCUCGCCUCAACCUUCCCCAGCCAUGUCUGGAGCGGGAGGCAAGUGGAUGGUCUCCUCCGUAACGAAGGAACAAGUCAAAAAGCUGCGGAAGGCCGGAUACUUAUCCGGCGACAUCGCGCAUCGGCUCCCCGACAAGGGGCAGCUCCUUCCUACCCCCAGGCCCCAUGAGAGGGUGGUGUUCCUCACCCACUUCCUCCGUGGACUAGGUUUUCCACUUCACCCAUUUGUCCGGGGGCUCAUGUUCUACUAUGGCCUAGAUUUCCAUGAUCUGGCCCCGAACUUCAUCCUCAAUAUCUCGGCGUUCAUCGUCGUGUGCGAGGCCUUCCUCUGCAUCCAGCCCCACUUCGGCUUAUGGCUGAAGAUUUUUAAUGUCAAGCCGAAGGUAGUGGGCGGCCGCCAAGCGGAGUGCGAAGGUGCCAUGGCGGGCCGGAUGGCCAACGUCCUAUGGCUCGAGGGCUCCUUUGUGGAGACAAUAAAGGGGUGGCAAUCGGGGUGGUUCUACAUCACCGAGCCGCGCGACCCCAAAUGGGCGGCGGCCCCCGAAUUCCGAUCUGGUUUCCCCACAUGGCUCACCUCCUGGAAAGAGAUGGGCCUAACGUGGGGAGAUUCGGAAGAGCUGACCGGACUUCAAGCCUGCGUCCAAAAGUUGGUGAACAAGAAUCUCAAGCUUAACAACGUAGUCCAAGUCAUGCUCAUACGCCGGAUCCUCCCGUGCCAACAACGGGCCUUCAAAUUGUGGGAGUUUGAUCCGGAACAACACCAAACCUUGAGCAAGCUCUUCGACACUACGUACGAAGAUGCCUGGAAGGUGCUAUUUAAGGGCGCCGAGGCCCCCGCAUCCGCUAACGAAGAUCGCGAAUUCAGCUUGCGGCGUCAGGCCAGCGAGGUAAGCUAUUCUACCCUUUACGGGAUUCUUGUUUUUCAUAGUCUGACUCUAUAUGGGAUCUAAACUCCCUUACCUUUGACAGGACUGGCUGAAGAAGUCCGAGCAGGUUAACUGUCCGACUCCUUUGCCAAAAGACCCAGCGGACGCCCGCUUAACGGGGCUGCUGGUUCCGGCACCUCACGUGGUGCCAGAGAAGAAGGCCAAGAAGAAGGCCACGGGAACUCAAAAGAGUUCUCGGUGUCAGGUGUUAUCGGACUCAUCAUCCGAUGACUCCGAGGCGGACUCCUCCCGUGAAGACGAGGAGGAGAAGAAAGAGGCUUCUCCCCCAAUGGGGGGAGAGAAGAAAAGGAAGGCCUCCCCAACUGGGGAGGCCGGAGGGUCCAAGAAGGGAAGGACCCUUCCUCCAGACUACUCCACCAACACCGAUGAUGGAGAAGAGGAGUGGCCCUCGAGGGCCAAGCCCCUGGCGAGAUCGUAAGUGUCCGGAUUCCAGAAUAACUCAUGAUUUUUCAUUUGUCGCAUAGUGUCUUCUAACGCCGAAUACAACCAUGUAGCCCGCCCAAGGAUGAGCUUCCCGCUUCGUCGAGCGGCUCCCUGGGUUCAUCGGAUGUGAAUAGCACUUCACAUCUGACGGCCUCCUCCCCUCGCAACGCAGAAGACACCACGGUGGAGUCCCAAAAGGGGCCCAACCAGGAGGAGGUGGUCCUGGAGGCGCCGCAAGGCGACCUCCCGGACUCCGGGCGCAAAGGGGGCAAAACCCCAGAGGGCUCUAAGUCCGGCCCUGUGCCGGACUCCGUACCGAAACCUUUAGUGGUUCUGGAGUCCUGCAGGCAGCCCCUUCGUAAGAAGGGCAAGACUGCAAUGCCGGUGGCCUCCGUCCAACCGGAGGCACCGGAUAGCUUGCUGGAGGCGCUUAACGGCGCCUCCAUCGAUGAGGCGCACCGCACUAUCAUGAGUGCGGUGAUCCAGAAAGUUUAGUCCGCCAGGAGCGGGCUGACUGAAGCCUGUACCAGCCUUCUAGCAGGCUUUGAGGUAAGUUUUUAAGAUACGUAAUAGUAUUACUGCAUAGACAGUAGCCCCUGAUGCUUAGUUCGGUGUUCGGAAAGAAAAGCCGAGCUGAGGAUCCAAAAAGAUAUACAUAGGAGUCUAACAUAAAUAUGUCAAUAUGGGAAUGUAGGCUGCGUUGCUGACCUCUGCCGCACUGACUGCGGAGGUCAAUGCAUUGAAGCAGAGCCUCGAGCGGUCCAAGAGCGAGCUCGGCCUUGCCAAGAAGCAGCUCGAGGAUAAGGAAGGUAAGUAAUACCUUAUAGAAAGGAUUUGGUUGCAAAAAAUGACAGGAAUAACGUGGGUAUUGCAGGGGCCACGAACAAGGUGGCGACCCUGAAGGAAGCGGUGUCCAAGGCCGAAAACAGUGUGGCCUUGGAGCGCACCGAGCGAGAGAAGCAGGAGGCGCGGGUGGCGGAGGUGCGGCAAGAGCUCCAGGCUCUCGUGGAAAAACAUGAGAGUUUGGAGCGUGACUCGAAGACUUGAGAGUCCGAGCUUGCCUUGGCUCUUGAGAGUGCCAAAGCCGCUAAUGCCGAAGCCUAGAAGGCCCUCCAAGAGAUCGAGGCGAUAAAGAAGAUAGCGACGGGUAAGGCAUUCUUUAUGCAAAGCAAGCAUAUAAAAGUGGAUUAUCUGUUACUUACCCAAAUCCGGAGCUCUCCAGGAGCGUUCACCGAUCUGCCCCGUAGUGUGUCUGAUGCUGCCGCGUUCUACCGAGCCGAGGAGGGGAGCUCGACGGAAAAGAUGUUUUGGUCUCAAUAUGCUGAGGCCGGACAUACGGUGCCCCUGAGCGACCAGCUGAAGCAGCUGGUCGAGCUUCACAAGGUGGCCGAACAGGCCAUGAAGGGCCUCAUAGUUCGGCUGUGGCCUAAGGAAGCCGUGCCUGGGAGCUACUUCGGUCUGGUGCGGCGGCUGGUGGACGCCUGUUCAUGGAUUGAAGUCAUCAAGCACUCCGCCUGCAUUGAAGGUGCCCGUCGGGCCCUUGCCCGUGCUAAAGUGCACUGGGGCAAGAUGGACGCUGAGAAGCUUGUGACGGACGCGCCACCGCCAGGCAAGGAGUAUCGCAAGCCCGAGAUGUACUAUAAGGGCGUCCUGAAGGGUGCCCACAUUAUAGCGGGUGAAUGCUCCAAAGAUGUAAUUUUUUAGUAGACUCGCAUUUGUUAUCCUGUACGCUGAAAACUUUGUUCAUAUGCGCUAAGCAAUGCUUGUUAAUUUAAAAUAUUACCUUCUGUGCGGCCGUUUAUCAAAUUUGAGAGAUGACGAGUCGUUGGCUUCAGCCCCCAUGCCACGAGUGCUGGGGUGUUCGGGAUAAACUUGAGCGCUCUUGUUCCCAUUCUUGGGUCCUUUCGAGGGAGGCGUUCAACACAACGAACGAGGCAACCGGACUAUAAUGCUUGAACACUCUCACUUAGCCAUAGAAUUCUAUAAUUUUAAAUUUCGGCGAAGCCCCUGAUAUUUGGAAGACCGAGUUCGGGGCGCUAUCCACGCCUUGGCCGGACAAUGCCGACUCCUCGCUCUAAGCGGCAUGAGUCUUUAGGGACCCGAAAAACCUCUCGAACAGCGACUGGCUCUCGCCCUAUCAUGACGGUCAGUUUUAGCUUUCUCCACUGAGGUGCUCAACCCAGCUCAACCGGGGCACAAUCGCAAUGGUUCUCCCAGCGCUACCUUAGCUGAUAUAACAGAACGUAAGGUACCAAAACAUGGGAGCCGGGCAAACCCAACUAUUGACCCAAGACAUGAUUCGGAGCCGAUGCAUAUAAUGCUAUAAGUUCGGGGUGCCGCACUUGUGAAAGUGUUCAGACUUAUCACACCAUGUUUUGGGGUACUUAAGCCCCUGGUGUAUUGACCGUACCAAAUUGUACGGGUGCAACAUGUCAUAGAUGAACAUUUAUAAAGAAAAAGGAAAUGCAAUAAUAAGCAGAAGCUAUGUAUUGUUUAUUCAAAAGAUACUGCAAUGAAAGCAGAACGAUACAAAUAGUGCGAUAAGCAAGGGAUGGGACUAUUUAACAUGUCCCCCUCCAGGGGUAGGCUACGGGAUAGUAUGUAAAACAGGUAUACUGCUCGUAAUAGAGACCACCUAGACACUCGACGUAGCUUUUUUGCUUCCUUGGCUAUUGCAUCGUGAGUUCGGUGAUUCUACUGCCGGACAGGGCUUCUGGAAAACGGAGUCCUGGAAAUAAGAAAAAAGUAAAAAAAGAAUGACACAAUUGGGAGCCCCUUGUGUGGUUGAGCCGCACUCUGGGCAUGCCGUGGUCGUGCCCCUCCCCCUAUGCCCAUGGUAUCUCCAGAGCGUAGUUAUGUACGUGUGGCACUGGUCUCGCGAUUUCGCGAGGGCUGGGGUUGGGGCCGCAUUGCUACACGUGCUUGGAACGUGCCAGGCGGUCUUGUUGUAGGUUACUCCGGGCGCGCUUGACUGUGUCUAGACGUUUAGUAGUCGGGCUCGAGAAUUGCCUUAAGAGGCUGCUUUGUACUUCCGCCGCGAGGGCCGCCGUAUGCUCCUCCGUUCGGAGAGAGCGUUCGGUGUUUCCAUUGACCGUGAUUACUCCUCGAGGGCCUGGCAUCUUGAGCUUAAGGUAUGCGUAGUGCGGCACCGCAUUGAACUUUGCAAAUGCGGUUCGUCCAAGCAGUGCAUGAUAGCCGCUGCGGAACGACACUAUGUCGAAGAUUAACUCCUCGCUUCAGAAGUUAUCCGGGGAUCCGAAGACCACUUCAAGUGUAAUUGAGCCUGUAUAGUUGGCCUCUACACCUGGUAUGACGCCUUUAAAGGUCAUUUUUGUGGGUUUAAUCCUUGAGGGGUCUAUGCCCAUUUUGCUCACUAUAUCCUGGUAAAGCAGGUUCAGGCUACUGCCGCCGUCCACCAGGACUCUAGUGAGGUGAAAUUCGUCAAUGAUUGGGUCAAGAACCGAUGCGACGAAUCCGCCAUGGCGGAUGCUAGUGGGGUGGUCCCUUCGAUCAAAAGUGAUCGGGCAGGAGGAUCACGGGUUGAACUUUGGGGCGACUGGCUCCAUCGCAUAUACGUCCCUUAGUGCAUGCUUCCGCUCCCUUUUGGGUAUGUGGGUUGCGUAUAUCAUGUUCACUAUCCGCACUUGUGGGGGAAAGCCCUUCUGUCCUCUAUUGUUCGGCGGGCGGGGCUCCUCCUCAUCAUCGCUAUGCAGCCCCUUGUCGUUGUUUUCGGCACUUAACUUGCCUGCCUGCUUGAAUACCCAACAAUCCCUGCAGGUGUGGUUGGCUGGUUUUUCAGGGGUGCCAUGUAUCUGGCACAAGCGAUCGAGUAUGCGGUCCAAAUUGGACGGGCCCUGAGUAUUUCUUUUGAACGGCUUUUUCCACUGACCGGGUUUAGAGCCUCUGAAUCCGGCAUUGACUGCCGUAUCUUCAGUAUUAUUGCCGUUAAUGUGGCGCUUGUGCUUGUUGCGACGCGACCUGCCAUUGCUGUCCUUGGUAUCCGAACUACCAGGGUUUUUGGUCAGGUUGUUACUGCGAGCUAGCCAGCUGUCCUCUCCCGCGCAGAAGCGGGUCAUGAGUGAUGUGAGGGUUCCCAUGGAUUUCGGCUUUUCCUGUCCUAGGUGCCGGGCAAGCCACUCGUCGCGGAUGUUAUGUUUGAAGGCUGCAAGGGCCUCUGCAUCCGGACAGUCAACGAUUUGAUUUUUCUUGGUUAAGAACCGUGUCCAGAAUUGUCUGGCCGAUUCAUUUGGCUGCUAAAUUAUGUGGCUUAGGUCAUCAGCGUCUGGUGGUCGCACAUAUGUGCCCUGGAUGUUAUCAAGGAAUGCGGCUUCCAGGUCUUCCCAACAACCAAUUGAUUCUGCUGGCAAGCUGUUGAGCCAAUACCGAGCCGGUCCUUUAAGCUUGAGUGGGAGGUAUUUGAUGGCGUGUAGAUCAUCACCGCGGGCCAUGUGGAUGCGAAGGAGAUAGUCCUCGAUCCAAACCGCAUGAUCUGUUGUGCUGUCGUAUGAUUCAAUGUUUACGGGUAUGAAACCCUCGGGGAUUUGAUGAUCCAUUACUUCGUCUGUGAAGCAUAGUGGGUGUGCGGCGCCUCUAUAUUGGGCUAUAUCACGACGUAGCUCAAAUGAGCUUUGUCUACUGUGUUCGGCCCGGCCGGAAUUGCUGUAUCCGGCGUGACGGUUGUCAUCACGUAUCGUGGGGCGCCCACGCGAUCCGUAGAUCGAUCUUAUUUGCCUUGCCUUGUCCUCCAAUAUGUCUCGCAAGUCUGGCGCAUUUCCCCGUGGCUUUGUACUUUUCGAGCGACGCCGGGGUGCGGCUUUAGUGGAGGGCCUAGAGGCCUCUCUAUCAUGGCCACGAGGUGGCCGGUCGGCCGCGUCAUGCGCUGGUGAUGUAGGUUUGGGUGCUUCCUCCUCUAAUUGGGGUAACAGCCUGCGUUUUGGGUAGCUUUUGGAGGGGCGAUCGAGUUUGUACUCUUCGUCUGCAAGGACUUCGGUCCAUAUGUCCGUUAGCAAGUCUUGGUCAGCUCUAAGCUGCUGCUGCUUUUUCUUGAGGCUGCUUGCCAUGGCCAUAAGCCUGCGUUUGAAACGCUCUUGUUCGACGGGAUCCUCGGGCACGACAAAUUCGUCGUCGUCGAGGCUUGCUUCAUCUUCAGAGGGAGGCAUAUAAUUAUCGUCCUCGACCUCUCUGUCUGCCGCUCUAUCAUGAGGGCUGGCUUCUCCCUCCUCCUGUGCUGAAUCCUGCUGGAGGGGGUUGUCUUCGGCACUGUCGAGGGUGUUAUUAUCUCCCGUGCUGGAGUCACCAUUUUUGCUGUGGUAGGAUUUAGAGCGGCGCCGCUGACGCGGGCGCUUGGGCUGUUUCUUGGAGGGGUCAUCCUCCGCUGUUCCAUUGCCAUUCCCGUCUUUUGGGGUGUCCACCAUGUAUAUGUCGUAUGACGAGGUGGCCUUCAAGUGCCCUGUAGGCGCUGGUUCUUGGUUGUCUCCUGCAUCGUCGUCCAUACCGUCGAUGUCUUCGGAGUCAAAGUCGAGCAUGUCGGUUAAAUCAUCGACAAUGGCUACAAAGUGGGUGGUGGGUGGGCGUUGAAUUUCUUUGUCGUCCACAUCCCAACCUUCCUGACCAUAGUCCGGCCAGGGCUCUCCUGAUAAAGAGAGAGACUUUAGUAAAUUCAGGAUGUCGCCAAAGGGUGAGUGCUGAAAGAUGUCCGCGGCAGUGAACUCCAUAACCGGCGCCCAAUCGGAUUUGAUUGGCAGAGGCGCGGGAGGUUCGGAGUCCGGAGAGGAGUCCGACACCUCGGAGUCACGGGCUUUGCAAAGGACAGGGAUGGUGUUCGUCUCAAUCGCUGUAGAGAUAGUAGCCCCUGAGGCGGUGUCCAGCCACUCGUCCUCGCGAAGUCGGCUCCGAGCUAAUGGUCGUAGAGGUGCCAGAGCUCGAUUUUAAAAUAGAGAUUGAAUAACAUCUUGAGCGGCAUACUUUCACUGUCAACGCAACAACUAUGAGAUGGCCGUAUUUUCCAUACUACAUGCAUUAUAGGCAGUUCCCAAACAGAAUGGUAAAGGUUUAUACUCCCCCAACCACCAACAAGCAUCAAUCCAUGGCUUGCUCGAAACAACGAGUGCAUCCAACAUACAACAACCCUGGGGGAGUUUUGUUUAAUUAUUUUGAUUUGUUUUGAUCUUUUUGGAUCAUGGGACUGGGCAUCCCGGUUACCGGCCCUUUCUCGUGAAUGAGGAGCGGAGUCCACUCCUCUUGAGAAUAAACCACCUAGCAUGGAAGAUAUAGGCAACCCUAGUUGAAACAUGAGCUGCUCAAGCAUACAAAACAGAACUUCAUUUGAAGGUUUGGAGUUUGGCACAUACAAAUUUACUUGGAACGGCAGGUAAAUACCGCAUAUAGGUAGGUAUGAUGGACUCAUAUGAAACAACUUUGGGGUUUAAGGAGUUUGGAUGCACAAGCAGUAUUCCCGCUUAGUACAUGUGAAGGCUAGCAAAAGACUGGGAAGCGACCAACUAAGAGAGCGACAACAGUCGUAAGCAUGCAUUAAAAUUAAUUCACACUGAAUACAAGCAUGAGUAGGAUAUAAUCCACCAUGAACAUAAAUAUCAUGAAGGCUAUGUUGAUUUGAUUCAACUACAUGCGUGAACAUGUGCCAAGUCGAGUCACUUAAUACAUUCAAAGGAGGAUACCAUCCCAUCAUACCACAUCAUAAUCAUUCUAAUAGCAUGUUGGCACGCCAGGUAAACCAUUAUAACUCAUAGCUAAUCAAGCAUGACACAAGCAACUAUAAUCUCUUAAUGUCAUUGCAAACAUGUUUACUUCAGAAUAGCUGACUCAGGAACGAUGAACUCAUCAUAUUUACAAAAACAAAAGAGGUCAAGUUCAUACCAGCUUUUCUCAUCCCAAUAAGUCCAUCAUAAAUCAUCAUUAUUGCCUUUCACUUGCAUGACCGAACGAUGUGUAUAAUAAUAAAAUUGCAUGUGCAUUGGACUAAGCUGGAAUCUGCAAGCAUUCAACUCAAGAGAGAAGACAAGUAAUAUGGGCUCUAAAUAUAAAUAAACAAUCAUGCAUAAAAGAGCCACUAAGCAUUUUCAAUAUGGUCUUCUCGACCCCCAAAAGAAAGAAAAUAAAAUAAAACUAUUUACACGGGAAAGCUCCCAACAAGUAAAAGAAGAACGAGAAAUCUUUUUGGGUUUUAAUUUUAAUUUCUACUACAAGCAGGGAAAUUAAACUAACUAAUUUUUGUUUUGUUUUUUCUUAAGGUUUAACAAACACACAAGAAGAAAGCUAGAAAAAGAAAUUUAAACUAACAUGGAUAAUACAAUGAAAGAGUAUGAGCACCGACGACUAGUGUGUGGACAUGAAUGUAAAGUCGGUGAGAAAUACGUACUCCCCCAAGCUUAGGCUUUUGGCCUAAGUUGGUCUAAUACCACUGACCACCGCUAUUCUCCCCGGUGUAGUGGGAGGUGUAAUCAGGAUACCACUGGCUGGUCAUCUCCAGAUCCCACUGGACAGAUGAUGCACGAUAAGGGUCCAACUCAGGUUCCGUUCAGGUUCCGGAGUAAAAGCUUGGGCUAGAUGGUUGUUCACCGCUUCUGGCGUGACAAGACGAUUUUCUACAAGCAAAUCAAAUAACAGAGGUGCAGGCAAAAUAAUAAUCUCAAAGUGUUUCUUAUCAAAUCUAAGUCUAUACAGGAGCAUCUUUUCUUCGUUGUCAACGAUAAACUUGUGUGCUACCAUGCUCUUGUAAUCUAAAAUGUGAGGAGGUAAUUUUGUCUCCUCCUCCUCAAGGUGCCUAAUGGGUAUCUGAAAAUGUUCAGCAAGACGUGCAACAUAGAUACAUCCAAAUAUGGGGCCUUUUGUACGAUUCAGGGCUAGCCGUUUAGCAACAACGACACCCAUACUAAAAGUAUUGUCUCCCAGCAAAGCAUGUUGAAUAAUAAUAAUAUCUGGAACGCUCAAAUUUCCACUAUUCCCAUGACCAAUCAAGCAUCUACUAGCAAAUAUGGCAAAGUAGCGUAAAACAAGAAAGUGUAUGCUAGAGACUUUUGCCUCAGAGCCCUUCUUUGGCUCUUCUACAGCAAUAGUUUUAACGAAGCCAUCCACAUCUUCACGAUGGGGUUCCUCUAAUUCUCCCUCAUAAGGUAUCCUACAUACCACGCAAAAAUGACGUAAAGACAUUUCUUUGAAUUCGUCAUAUAAAUGAAAUGAUACUGCAGGCAGUGACUUCUUAGGAUAAUAAUAAAAGUUUUGCACGAAAGUAUUGGUAAGUAAGAGAUACUGAUCGAUUCGGCCGUUCAUGAAACCGGUGAGGCCUGCAGUCCCGAUUAAAGCAUAAAAGUCUUCAUGAAUUCUCACCUCCUUCAAGAAAUCCUCACAUGGCCAUUCACAUGACCGUACUUCCUCUAAGCGAGGAAGAUUAUACUUGGGUUUUUCCUUCUCUUUGUCUUGUUUUCCUUAGAGCUUUGGCUAGAAGAGCUUUUAAAGAGCCUCCUUAACAUUUUCUGAAAAUUUCUGAAAUUUUAGUAACUUCAAAAUAAAAGUGGACAAAACUAAACAAGAUUGAUAGCAACUACUCCUACAAGUGCCUAGAGCCUAUAUCAUGCAUUGGAAUUGCUUGGGACCUCAAAAAUUUAACAUGCAAGCUCAAGAACAUGGUCACCUAUGCAGCAAAAAUUUGCAAUGAAUAAAGACUAGAACAAAAACUAAUUGGACCAAUGGAGGAGUCACAUACCAAGCAACAAUCUCCCAAAGCAGUUUUGCGAAUGGAGCUUUGAGCUAAGAGAUCGAAAAUCGCAGCAAACGAGCUAGAACUCGGGCUUGAGCUGGAUGGGGAUUUUUUGGGUAGAAGAUGAAGUGUGUGGGUGCUGGCAUUAGUGGAGGGGAGCCACCAGGGGCCCACGAGACUUGGGGGCGCGCCCUACAGGGGGGCGCCCUCCUCUCUCGUGGCCUGGUGCUUGGCCCUCCCGCAGUAUUUUCAGUGCCUAAAAUCCUCAAAUAUUCCAGAAAAAAUCAUACUAAAUUUGCAGGGCAUUUGGAGCACUUUUAUUUUCGAACUAUUUUUUAAUGCACGGAUAAUUCAGGAAACAGACAUAUAAUACUAUUUUUGCUUUAUUUAUUCUAAAUAAGAGAAAGUAAAAAGAGGGUACAGAAGGUUGUGCCUUCUAGUUUCAUCCAUUUCGUGAUCAUUAAAAUGAAUCCACUAACAAGGUUGAUCAAGUCUUGUUAACAAACUCAUUCCAAAUAACACGGAACCGGAGAAAUUUCGAAUAACACUAAGUUACUUCAACGGGGAUAUGGAAAUCCCCAACAAUAAGAAUAUCAUACUUUUUCUUGACAGUAGGAAGAGGAAAUUCAAAACCUCCAAAAAUGAUAGUUGGAACUUUUUCAAUAGAAUUGAUGCUAUGAACUUGAGAUUGUUUCCUCGGAAAGUGUACCGUAUGCUCAUUACCAUUAACAUGAAAAGUGACAUUGCCUUUGUUGCAAUCAAUAACAGCCCCUGUAGUAUUAAGAAAAGGUCUACCAAGGAUAAUAGACAUACUAUCGUCCUUGGGAAUAUCAAGAAUAACAAAGUCCGUUAAGAUAGUGACAUUUGCAACCACAACAGGCACAUCCUCACAAAUACCGACAGGUAUAACAGUUGAUUUAUCAGCCAUUUGCAAAGAUAUUUCAGUAGGUGUCAACUUGUUCAAUUCAAGUCUACGAUAUAAAGAGAGAGGCAUAACACUAACACCGGCUACAAGAUCACAUAAAGCAGUUCUAACAUAAUUUCUUUUAAUAGAGCAUGGUAUAGUUGGUACACCCGGAUCUCCAAGUUUCUUUGGUAUUCCACCCUUAAAAGUGUAAUUAGCAAGCAUGGUGGAAAUUUCAGCUUCUGGUAUCUUUCUUUUAUUUGUGAUGAUAUCCUUCAUAUAUUUAGCAUAAGGAUUUACUUUAAGCAUAUCAGUUAAGCGCAUACGUAAGAAAAUAGGUCUAAUCAUUUCAGCAAAGCGCUCAAAAUCCUCCUCAUCCUUUGACUUGGAUGGUUUAGGAGGAAAGGGCAUGGGUUUCUGAACCCAUGGUGUCAGUGUCAAAACCGGCAGAUCUCGGGUAGGGGGUCCCGAACUGUGCGUCUAGGCGGAUGGUAACAGGAGACAAGGGACACGAUGUUUUUACCCAGGUUCGGGCCCUCUCGGUGGAGGUAAAACCCUAAUCCUGCUUGAUUAAUAUUGAUGAUAUGGGUAGUACAAGAGUAGAUCUACCACGAGAUCAAGGAGGCUAAACCCUAGAAGCUAGCCUAUGGUAUGAUUGUUGUUCGUCCUACGGACUAAAACUCUCCGGUUCAUAUAGACACCGGAGAGGGCUAGGGUUACACAGAGUCGGUUACAAUGGUAGGAGAUCUACAUAUCCGUAUUGCCAAGCUUGCCUUCCACGCCAAGCAAAGUCCCAUCCGGACACGGGACGAAGUCUUCAAUCUUGUAUCUUCAUAGUCUUGGUGAUGCGGAGCAUCCCACGUUCAUCCCCAUGUACACUCCGACUACUCUCCAAGCCCCAAGGAUACAUAAGAUGAGACCGCGACUAUGCGCCAUUGGACACAAGGUGAAUUCACUCCUCUUCGAACCGUCACUUUCCGCAUGUGAGGCACGGCUACUACCUCAUGCAUGGACCUUGCCUAUACUCAGGUACAACCGAGAUGAUCAUGGAGAGUCCAAGGAUCAAGGCCAAGCAUGGAAGAGGAGAAGGAAGAAGAAGACGGAGCGGCUGCUGAAGCCAGGCCGGACAUCCGGACCGCAGUCCGAAUCAUCCGGGCCCAGCCGGAUCAUCCGGGCCCAGCCGGAUCAUCCGGACCCUCCCCCGGAUCGUCCGGGUAGCUGCGCCGUAGACAACAGAAGCUCCUCGACGAAGCCGGAUCAUCCGGACGGUCGCCCGGAUCAUCCGGACCCCCGACACCCGGAUCAUCCGGGCCACCAUCCGGACCCCGCCUGUGUGCGCGACUUGGGCUGAGCCCAUGUACCCCUUUGCCCCCUAGUCUAUAAAUAGGACCCCCUCUCCUCACUUUGGGACUUAGCGUUGGUUUAGCUCAUGUUAGAGAUAGAGCUACGCUCAUCUAUCGGAUCUCCUCCUCGUGAGAGACUGCGGCCUCCGUCUAGGAGAAGAUCCCUCUCGGAUACAAGACCCCUUUACGGGAAGAUACCCUCGUGGAUUCAAGGCCUCCUCUUGGAGAUGAACGGUUCCGUUGUAUCCUUACCCUAGUUGACUAUGUAUCUUGUGGAUCUCAUGUGUGUAUGUUGAUCUAGCACUUGUGUGAUCGAUUCCUUGUUGGUUGAGUGAUUCCCUCUCGUUUUCCCCGUGUUUCCCCUUGUGCUUCCGCGUGUUCUUCGUGUUUCCUCCGUAGGAUCCCCUCCAAACGUGAAAGAUCGACGAAUUAGGGUUCCACCCUACAUCAUAUGGUAUCAUGAGCCACGUUGAUCACGUUUUUGGAGCCCCUACCCCGUGUUUUCUAGCUUGAUUUUGUUGUUUUCGUCCUAAAUCCGAAAAUCCCCACCAAAAAUAGCCCCAAUUUUUUUUGUGAUUUGUUGGUUUGAUGAUGUUUUGUUGAUUUUGAUCCAUGGAUUUGCUUGGUUUCAAGUGGAUCUAGCUUUCCCCCAAGUUUCCCCACCUUCCAUCCACGAAAUCCCUCAAAUUUUGCCCCGAAAAUCAUCCAUUUCCGCCCAAAAAUUCAUCUCCACGAGCAAAUCCCGAGCAGUUUGACCUGCCCGGAUCAUCCGGACCUUCUCCCGGAUCAUCCGGACAUCCCCCGGAUCAGCUGGACGCCCCCCCGGACGUCCGGAUACCCCACGCACCCAGAAAACAGAACCGGCGCUGACGAACCCGGAUCAUCCGGAAGUACUCCCGGAUCAUCCGGACCUAGCCCGGAUCAUCCGGACCUCCUCCCGGAUGUCCGGUUAACCCUGACACUGCUUCGGCUGAAAUUUUGUUUUGGUCAUAACUAAUUCAUCCGAACUCCGAUUUUGACGUUCUUUAGCUCGUUCUGAAGCUCUUGACACCCCCCAUCCCACAAAAAUACCACCAACAUCAUUUGACUCCAUCAUAUUUUCUGAAAUUUGGCAAGUUUGCCUAGGCCCUCCACCAUAUCACCCGCAUAGCCACCACCGACUUCCGCAACCUAACCCAUUUUUGUUCCCCAUUGCAUAUGUGGUUGUUUGAGUUGUGACUAGAGUCUCCUAAGGUGUUUCGGCUACUUAGGGACAAUUGCUUCUUCAUCAACCACCACCACCACUUCCGCAUAGGCGCGCCCACCAUACACUUCCACCACCCCCAACUUAACCCAAUAGUUGUUUGAGCUUGUUUGAGUUGUGGCUUGUGUCUCCUAAGGUGUUUCGGCUACUUAGGGACGGCAACUUCAACUCCGACACGUGUAUAGCCCAUCAUUCAUCCGCAUUGCCUAGUGCAACACCACCACCGCUUUCCGCUACCACCAUUUGACAUUUGUCAUUUGAGAUUUUGAGUUUGCGGUUUUUCCGUUUCCUAAGGUGUUUCGGCUACUUAGGGACGAGUCUCCAUCUUCUUGGUAUCUACACCAAGAACACCACCACUCAUCAUCGCAAAGGACGGUAACCUCGACGACACCAUUGUAUAUUUCCCUUGCAAUUGCAUUGUUAACCCCUAGCCCAUUUUGCAUCACUUACCUAUCGAGACUAGCCAUUUGAGUAUUGCUGGCAACGUUACUUGUGCACAUUAGUGGUCCAUACCUUCCAUUGCAUACAUACCAUAUCAUAUUGGUAUCAUAUCAUACAUAGUGUCACAAUAUCGUUCCCGCAUAUACACAAUUGCUAUCUUGGUUUGUGCAUUGUGCAAAAGUGGCCUUAGAAAAAAAAGAGAAAAAAAGCUUUUAAGCAAAAAGAGAGCAAAGAGCUCGUGAGCAAGUGCCAUAGCAUCAUAUCCCAUUGCACAUAAGAUUGUCAAAUCUACAUCAUAUGAUAUCAUGCUUGAGAGAAACACCGGGAACCAUACAUACAUAGCAUACUUGGGAUAGAAGUUUAUCCAUUUUGCAUCUUAUAGGUUGUGCACAAGUGUCGUAUCCGCCUAUUGAGCAAUCGUGCUAGCGUCUCUCUUGAGUUGUGCAACACGAGCGUUUUGGUGGAUUCCACAUUUUGAGCUCAUUCCUUGGUUGCACGACCCCAUUUAUCUAUCCGUGUGUGUGUUUCCGUGUGCCAUUCUUUGCUAUUGGUCCAUUUGUUUCACUUGCGAAUUUGUGAAUCUUUUUCAACAUUAUUGACUCUUGCUAACAUUUUGCAUUAAAUUUUUGUGCCACUAUCCUCACCGAGCUCCACUAUAAGCUUUACUUGUGUAGGUGUGAGAACCGACAAGGAUUGGUACCAAUAGUGCUAUUUCAUUGUCCACAUUUGAGUGAACUUGAUUCAUCUUCAACUUUGGUCAAAGGUACAUUGGUAUACGUUCUUCUCUUUCUCCCACUCAUAUUUGCUCGAGUCUUGUGAUGGAUAGGCAAGGCAUUCCCUCUCCGGUCUACGACAACAACGACGGCGUGAACAACUACAUCUCCAAAGCGUCUAUCUUCGAUC
rnacentral:lncRNA from 1 species